CUCAGUAUUUCCAUUAAGCUCUCAGUCUCAGAAAAACCUUGCCUUACCCAUCUCACCCUUGUCUUUCAUCAUUGAAUAGCAUCAUCCCAAACAACUCUCUGUGAGACCAAAGAAAAGGGGAAUGGAUUCGAGCAGCAGGAAAGCUGGAUCAGUACCCCGUAAAAGUCUUCCACAAGAUCACCAGUGAACCGCUCACGCUGGGCGUCCUGUCCUCACCACUUCUUUGCUAAAGCAAUUACACGUCGGGGUUGUCAUCUCUUUUCUGCAUGAGGGAGUUGAGACACAGAGGAUCAGCGACUUACCAGCGUCCGUACCACUAGGGAUUUAAAUUCAAACCCAGCUCUUCAGACUUCAGACUCAGUGUUCUCCCAGCAAAGCCCUGUCUGCUCUGUUGUGGCCUGAUACCAAAAUAUUUUGUCAGAAUUUUAAGGACAUAAAGGAUACUCCUAAAUUUUAAGCUGAAAGUGUGUUUAUUUUCGUCUAAUGUUAUUAUUUAUUUGAAAUGUAUAUCAGAAUACAAAGUUUUGGAAAACCUGGAAUCAUGUAAAUUUUUUGUUUGAUGUGAAGGAAAAACAUGACCUGAACUCUUGAGAACCCAUUUGAAUUAACAGAUGAACACCAAACAAAGUUUUCUUGAUUUUAAAUUAAUGAUGGCUUAUUCUAAAUAUGAA